rnacentral:rRNA from 1 species
GACGAACGCUGGCGGCGUGCUUAACACAUGCAAGUCGAACGGUAAGGCCCUUCGGGGUACACGAGUGGCGAACGGGUGAGUAACACGUGGGUGAUCUGCCCUGCACUUUGGGAUAAGCCUGGGAAACUGGGUCUAAUACCGGAUAGGACCAUGGACUUCACGGCUUGUGGUGGAAAGCUUUUGCGGUGUGGGAUGGGCACGAGGCCUAUCAGCUUGUUGGUGGGGUAAUGGCCUACCAAGGCGACGACGGGUAGCCGGCCUGAGAGGGUAACGGGCCACGAUGGGACUGAGAUACGGCCCAGACUCCUACGGGAGGCAGCAGUGGGGAAUAUUGCACGAGUGGCGCAAGCCUGAUGCAGCGACGCCGCGUGAGGGAUGACGGCCUUCGGGUUGUAAACCUCUUUCAGCAUCGACGAAGCGAAAGUGACGGUAGGUGCAGAAGAAGGACCGGCCAACUACGUGCCAGCAGCCGCAGUAA